GAGGAGUGGCUGAGUGGUCGAAAGCGGCGGUCUUGAAAACCGUUGUGCAGUAAUGUACCGUGGGUUCGAAUCCUACCUCCUCC
rnacentral:tRNA from 1 species